GACGAACGCUGGCGGCGUGCCUAAUACAUGCAAGUAGAACGCUGAAGGAGGAGCUUGCUCUUCUGGAUGAGUUGCGAACGGGUGAGUAACGCGUAGGUAACCUGCCUGGUAGUGGGGGAUAACUAUUGGAAACGAUAGCUAAUACCGCAUAAUAACAGUUGUUGCAUGACAACUGUUUGAAAGGUGCAAUUGCAUCACUACCAGAUGGACCUGCGUUGUAUUAGCUAGUUGGUGGGGUAACGGCUCACCAAGGCGACGAUACAUAGCCGACCUGAGAGGGGGAUCGGCCACACUGGGACUGAGACACGGCCCAGACUCCUACGGGAGGCAGCAGUAGGGAAUCUUCGGCAAUAGACGAAAGUCUGACCGAGCAACGCCGCGUGAGUGAAGAAGGUUUUCGGAUCGUAAAGCUCUGUUGUAAGAGAAGAACGAGUGUGAGAGUGGAAAGUUCACACUGUGACGGUAUCUUACCAGAAAGGGACGGCUAACUACGUG
rnacentral:rRNA from 1 species